rnacentral:misc_RNA from 1 species
GUAGGUGAACCUGCGGAAGGAUCAUUAAAAAGUACCGAGUGGCUUCAUGCCACGGGUUAAUGCACCGAUGCCCCGUGGGCACGUGACGUGUAAAAUUACUUGUUGAAGCACUUUAUUUAUGCUUCGGUUGCUUCUUCCGUUUAACCGCGGAGGGGUAAGUCGGCCAGAGGCACACUUUAAAAACUAGUUGAUGAAAUGUCAUGCUGUCUGAUACUGUUUAGUAUUUGAGAAAUCGAAUAUCUGUUAAAACUUUCAGCAACGGAUCUCUUGGUUCUC